rnacentral:lncRNA from 1 species
CUUGGUGGGUUUUGUUUAUACUGAUUAGUAUAAAACACAUUAGAUUAGACAUUAGACUUUAUAUUGAAGCCAUAAUUAGUCAACUAACAGUGGUAGCAGAGGGUAGUUACAAUGGAAAAUAUCAUCCAUUUAAGAGAUAAAGAUGAUGUGUCUGAUGACACAAAUCCGAGUACCCUGCUCAAGCUUUUAGGGAAGGACAGAGGGACAGACGGAAGGCCAGCAAUAAAGAAAGACAGAAGGACAGACAGUCAAGUGUAGCACUUUAGGCCACAAAUAUCAGAAAAACAAAAAGG